AUUGAACGCUGGCGGCAUGCCUAACACAUGCAAGUCGAACGAGUGGCGGACGGGUGAGUAAUGUCUGGGAAACUGCCCGAUGGAGGGGGCUAACUACUGGACACGGUAGCUAAUACCGCAUACCAUCGGAUCUGCCCAGAUGGGAUUAGUUAGUAGGUGGGGUAACGGCGCACCUAGGCGACGAUCCCUAGCUGGUCUGAGAGGAUGACCAGCAAAACUGGAACUGAGACACGGUCCAGACUCCUACGGGAGGCAGCAGUGGGGAAUAUUGCACAAUGGGCGAAAGCCGGAUGCAGCCAUGCCGCGUGUAUGAAGAAGGCCUUCGGGUUGUAAAGUACUUUCAGCGAGGAGGCGUUACUCGCAGAAGAAGCAACGGCUAACUCCGUGCCAGCAGCCGCGGUAAUUC
rnacentral:rRNA from 1 species